rnacentral:rRNA from 2 species
UACGUAGGCAGCGAGCGUUGUUCGGAGUUACUGGGCGUAAAGAGUGCGUAGGUGGUUCUCUAAGUUUGGUGUGAAAUCUCCCGGCUCAACUGGGAGGGUGCGCCGAAAACUGGAGGACUAGAGUGUGGGAGAGGAAAGCGGAAUUCCUGGUGUAGCGGUGAAAUGCGUAGAUAUCAGGAGGAACACCUGCGGUGUAGACGGCUUUCUGGACCACUACUGACACUGAGGCACGAAAGCGUGGGGAGCAAACAGG